UGAGGAAUAUUGGUCAAUGGGCGAGAGCCUGAACCAGCCAAGUCGCGUGAAGGAAGACUGCCUUAUGGGUUGUAAACUUCUUUUAUACAGGAAUAAAAAGGCUUACGUGUAGGCCAUUGCAAGUACUGUAUGAAUAAGCAUCGGCUAACUCCGUGCCAGCAGCCGCGGUAAUACGGAGGAUGCGAGCGUUAUCCGGAUUUAUUGGGUUUAAAGGGUGCGCAGGCGGGCUUUUAAGUCAGCGGUGAAAUCUGGACGCUUAACGUCCAAACUGCCGUUGAAACUGGGAGUCUUGAGUAUGGAUGAAGUAGGCGGAAUUCGUUGUGUAGCGGUGACAUGCAUAGAUAUAACGAGGAACUCCGAUUGCGUAGGCAGCUUACUAAGCCAUAACUGACGCUCAUGCACGAAAGCGUGGGGAUCAAACAGGAUUAGAUACCCUGGUAGUCCACGCCGUAAAACGAUGAUUACUAGUUGUAUGCGAUAUGAUAGUAUGUGACUAAGCGAAAGCGAUAAGUAAUCCACCUGGGGAGUACGCCGGCAACGGU
rnacentral:rRNA from 1 species